GGGGUGAUAGCUCAGUUGGGAGAGCGUACGACUGAAGAUCGUAAGGCCGCCGGUUCAAAUCCCGGCUCGCCCCA
rnacentral:tRNA from 1 species